AUUCGUAACUUUGGGAAAAGAAUUGGCUCUGAAGGAUGGGUGGAUGGGGGUUUGUGUCGUGACGAGAUGGGGUUUGAGAUUCUGGGGUCUUUCACGAGAUUCUGUGAUUUUAUACCCUAACAUUUCCAAUCCGCAAAUCUAUUUUAACCAACCACAACAAACAUCUAAUUCAGAACUGGUACGAACAAGGAGAAUCCGACUGUUUAAUUAAAACAAAGCAUUGUGACGGUUCGUAAGAAUGUAGACACAAUGUGAUUUCUGCCCAGUGCUCUGAAUGUUAACGUGAAGGAAUUCAAACAAGCGCGGGUAAACGGCGGGAGUAACUAUGACUCUCUUAAGGUAGCCAAAUGCCUCGUCAUCUAAUUAGUGACGCGCACGAAUGGAUUAAUGAGAUUCUCACUGUCUCUACCCACCAUCUAGCGAAACCACAGCCAAGGGAACGGGCUUGGAAAAGAAAGCGGGGAAAGAAGACCCUGUUGAGCUUGACUCUAGUCUGCUUCUGUGAAAAGACUUUGGAGGUGUAGCGUAAGGAGGAGCUUUACGGCGAACUUGAAACACUCCUACUUCGAACGUCUUUUUACUUCGGGUGUGACAUGGUGUUUGUUUGGGUAAUUCCAAACUUAUAUUUGUAUCGAGUUUAUGAAAAUAAACCAACCAAUCACCCAACAAAAGCAGGUGGGGAGUUUGACUGGGGCGGUACAUCUGCGAAAAAAUAGCGCAGGUGAACCAAGGCGGGCUCAGUGAGAAGAGAAAUCUCACGUAGAGCUAAAGGGCAAAAGCCCGCUUGAUUUAGUCUUUCAGUGUGAGAACAAACGAGGAAACUGUGUCCUAUCGAUCCUUUAUGUUUUGCCUAGAACCUAGGCCUAGAGGUGCCAGAAAAGUUACCACAGGGAUAUCUGGCUUGUGGCUGCCAAGCGUCCAAAGCGACGUAGCUUUUUGAUCCUUCGAUGUCGGCUCUUCUCAUCAUUCCGUUGCAGAAGGCGGAAAGUGUCAGAUUGUUCACCUGUAAAAGAGGAACGUGAGCUGGGUUUAGACCGUCGUGAGACAGGUUAGUUUUACCCUCCUUUCAGAUUGAUUUCUUGACUCGACACGGAGGUAGUACGAUAGGAACUGUCCGUGGGCGCAUUUGGUUCGUGCUUUCGUUGAACAACGAGUGAGCAGAUGCUACGCGCUCUGCGAUAAAAACUGAAGGCCUCUAAAGUUUGAAUCGCACGAGAACAUGGAAGUCUAUAUUGCAUUGAUUUUAUCCAGAUGCAUGAAUAUAUGUAUGCUGUGUGGGGUUGU
rnacentral:rRNA from 1 species